rnacentral:lncRNA from 1 species
GAACGGGGCGCGCCACGGGGACCCCUGGCCCUCGCCUGCGUUCGCAGGUGUCAGACAGCACCGACGAGGCGUCCGGCACUGCCUGAGCUCCUGACGUGUCUCAGGGACAGACUCAAGUCACACGACACUUCGCUGAGUUACCCUCGGGGGCGCGACUGUGAAAUCGGAGAACCGGAUGUGGGUGCGGAGGAGGGCAAGACGGCUCGACACCUGCUUUCUUCUCUUCCUUCCGGACUCAGAAUUCUUAGGGAAAAUGUAUUGUAAGUUGAUCGAAAAGAUGCUACGGGGCGCCUGGCUGGCUCAGUCAGUAGAGCAUGCGACCCUUGACCUCAGGGUUUUGAGUUUGAGCCCCAUGUUGGGUGUAGAGAUAACUUAAAAGUAAAAUCUUAAAAAAAAAAAAGAUGCCACAAUAACUUCUUCACUUCUCGAAUCCAUAUGCCUUGCAGCGUGACUUUGCCACUCGUCCCAUCAAAGGUGAGUGUGUCCUCACCCAUGGCACAGAAACACCCAUGGAGUUUAAAAAUUUCAUCUGAGAGCCUCUGUUAUUGAAAAGGAGAUCAAGUCUUUCAUGUUUGUGUAAUUAUUGCCAUGUUUGUUUGUACAUACUCCUGACAUCUUA